CUCAUCGGCCGGUUAUAUGCAAAAACCCAUUUUUUCAGGCUUAAAAACAGGCCUCGUCUUAUUCGCCGGGUAGACUUAUUCGCCGGAAAAUACGGUAACUAAUAUUAAUGAAAAAUUUAUAUUCUGGUAAUUAGUAUAGGCCAUUCGUUCACGUUUAUCAUCUGAAAGACAAUCAUGUACUAUAUAUUGUGUAACACUAACUUGAUUUUCAGAGAUCCAGCCAUGCUCCAAUCCAGUCCAUGGAAAAAUUGUUGGGACGGGCGGUAGAAACUCUUAUGCUACAAGCUACGGCAUCUGCAACUUUCCACUGAUUAUAGUGUGGACUCGGACAUAAAGGAAUUGAUGAAAUUCAUUGUCAAAUAAUUGUCUGAUUACAUUUUGAUCCAGAAAACAUUCAAGGAUGAAAAAAUCGCUCAUAAGAUAUUUGUCAAGUCUUGGAGGUUGCUCCGAGAAAGACUUGAUUGGAGAAUCAUGAGCUCAGUUAUAACAAAUUUACUCUCCCGCUCUUUCAACUGUGCAGGACGCGGUGGAUAAGGAGUGAGUGGGACGCCCUGAGUUUCUGCUAUUAAAGCUAUGGAUGAUCUGGCAACGAACUCCGAUUAAUUUUAUUACAUGUAUACAUAUUUGUAAAAUAAAGACAUUUUGUUAUCUUUUGUUUUUUAUUAUAUAAAUAAUGUUA